rnacentral:rRNA from 1 species
GGAUAUCUUGGCUCUUGCAAAUGAAGAACGCAGCGAAAUGCGAUACCUAGUGUGAAUUGCAGAAUUCCGCGAAUCAUCGAGUUUUUGAACGCAAGUUGCGCCCGAGGCUCGUUCCGAGGGCAUGCCUGCCUGAGCGUCC